AUACUUACCUGGCAGGGGAGACACCAUGAUCAGGAAGGUGGUUUUCCCAGGGUGAGGCUCAUCUAUUGCACUUGGGAUGUGCUGACCUCUGUGAUUUUCUCAAACUCGACUGCAUAAUUUGUGGUAGUAGGGGACUGUGUUCGCACUCUCCCCUG
rnacentral:snRNA from 1 species